AAAAAAGGUAAGCUACUAAGAGCGAAUGGUGGAUGCCUUGACUGGUAAAGGCGAUGAAGGACGUACUAGACUGCGAUAAGCUACGGGGAGCUGUCAAGAAGCUUUGAUCCGUAGAUUUCCGAAUGGGGCAACCCAAUGUAUAGAGAUAUACAUUACCUAUAUAGGAGCGAACGAGGGGAAUUGAAACAUCUUAGUACCCUCAGGAAAAGAAAUCAAUAGAGAUUGCGUCAGUAGCGGCGAGCGAAAGCGCAAGAGGGCAAACCCAGUGCUUGCACUGGGGGUUGUAGGACUGCAAUGUGCAAGAGGUGAGUUUAGCAGAACAUUCUGGAAAGUAUAGCCAUAGAGGGUGAUAGUCCCGUAUGCGAAAAACAAACCUUAGCUAGCAGUAUCCUGAGUAGGGCGGGACACGAGAAAUCCUGUCUGAAGCUGGGUCGACCACGAUCCAACCCUAAAUACUAAUACCAGAUCGAUAGUGCACAAGUACCGUGAGGGAAAGGUGAAAAGAACUGAGGUGAUCAGAGUGAAAUAGAACCUGAAACCAUUUGCUUACAAUCAUUCAGAGCCCUAUGUAGCAAUACAGGGUGAUGGACUGCCUUUUGCAUAAUGAGCCUGCGAGUUGUGGUGUCUGGCAAGGUUAAGCAAACGCGAAGCCGUAGCGAAAGCGAGUCUGAAUAGGGCGCUUAGUCAGAUGCUGCAGACCCGAAACGAAGUGAUCUAUCCAUGAGCAAGUUGAAGCUAGUGUAAGAACUAGUGGAGGACUGAACCCAUAGGCGUUGAAAAGCCCCGGGAUGACUUGUGGAUAGGGGUGAAAGGCCAAUCAAACUUCGUGAUAGCUGGUUCUCUCCGAAAUAUAUUUAGGUAUAGCGUUGUGUCGUAAUAUAAGGGGGUAGAGCACUGAAUGGGCUAGGGCAUACACCAAUGUACCAAACCCUAUCAAACUCCGAAUACCUUAUAUGUAAUCACAGCAGUCAGGCGGCGAGUGAUAAAAUCCGUCGUCAAGAGGGAAACAACCCAGACUACCAGCUAAGGUCCCUAAAUCUUACUUAAGUGGAAAACGAUGUGAAGUUACUUAAACAACCAGGAGGUUGGCUUAGAAGCAGCCAUCCUUUAAAGAAAGCGUAAUAGCUCACUGGUCUAGUGAUUUUGCGCGGAAAAUAUAACGGGGCUAAAGUAAGUACCGAAGCUGUAGACUUGCGCACAACUUAGAUUAUUUAAGUUUAGAAUAUGAGAAACUAAGUUAUAUGUUUAGUUAUAUUUUUACUGAUUUUUAUAGAGUAAAGAUAGAAAUAAAACUUAGUAAAAUCAGUAAAAAUAUUCUUAGACUAAAGUUAAGUAGUUUAAGUUGUGUGCAAGUGGUAGGAGAGCGUUCUAUUUGCGUCGAAGGUAUACCGGUAAGGAGUGCUGGAGCGAAUAGAAGUGAGCAUGCAGGCAUGAGUAGCGAUAAUUAAUGUGAGAAUCAUUAACGCCGUAAACCCAAGGUUUCCUACGCGAUGCUCGUCAUCGUAGGGUUAGUCGGGUCCUAAGUCGAGUCCGAAAGGGGUAGACGAUGGCAAAUUGGU
rnacentral:rRNA from 1 species